CCUACGGGAGGCAGCAGUGGGGAAUCUUGCGCAAUGGGCGAAAGCCUGACGCAGCAACGCCGCGUGCGGGAAGAAGGCCUUCGGGUUGUAAACCGCUUUCAGAAGGAACGAAAAUGACGGUACUUUCAGAAGAAGGUGCGGCCAACUACGUGCCAGCAGCCGCGGUGACACGUAGGCACCAAGCGUUGUCCGGAUUUAUUGGGCGUAAAGAGCUCGUAGGCGGUUCGGUAAGUCGGGUGUGAAAACUUUGGGCUCAACCCAAAGCGUGCAUUCGAUACUGUCGUGACUAGAGUUCGGUAGGGGAGCGGGGAAUUCCUAGUGUAGCGGUGAAAUGCGCAGAUAUUAGGAGGAACACCGGUGGCGAAGGCGCCGCUCUGGGCCGAAACUGACGCUGAGGAGCGAAAGCGUGGGUAGCAAACAGGAUUAGAUACCCUGGUAGUCCACGCCGUAAACGUUGGGCACUAGGUGUGGGUCUCAACCAACGAGAUCCGCGCCGUCGCAAACGCAUUAAGUGCCCCGCCUGGGGAGGUACGGCCGCGAGUAAACUACAAUAGAUGACG
rnacentral:rRNA from 1 species